rnacentral:rRNA from 1 species
ACGGAAGGCAGCAGUGGGGAAUAUUGCGCAAUGGGGGAAACCCUGACGCAGCAACGCCGCGUGAGGGAAGACGGUCUUCGGAUUGUAAACUUCUGUUCUUAGUGAAGAUAAUGACGGUAGCUAAGGAGCAAGCCACGGCUAACUACGUGCCAGCAGCCGCGGUAAUACGUAGGUGGCAAGCGUUGUCCGGAAUUACUGGGUGUAAAGGGAGCGCAGGCGGGAAAUCAAGUUGGAUGUGAAAUGUCGGGGCUUAACCCCGGAACUGCAUCCAAAACUGAUUUUCUUGAGUGAAGUAGAGGUAGGCGGAAUUCCGAGUGUAGCGGUGAAAUGCGUAGAUAUUCGGAGGAACACCAGCGGCGAAGGCGGCCUACUGGGCUUUAACUGACGCUGAGGCUCGAAAGUGUGGGGAGCAAACAGGAUUAGAUACCCUGGUA